UACGUAGGGUGCAAGCGUUGUCCGGAAUUAUUGGGCGUAAAGAGCUCGUAGGCGGUCUGUCGCGUCUGCUGUGAAAAUCCAGGGCUCAACCCUGGACCUGCAGUGGGUACGGGCAGACUAGAGUGCGGUAGGGGAGAUCGGAAUUCCUGGUGUAGCGGUGAAAUGCGCAGAUAUCAGGAGGAACACCAAUUGCGAAGGCAGCUCGCUGGGACGUUACUGACGCUGAGACGCGAAAGCGUGGGGAGCAAACAGG
rnacentral:rRNA from 1 species